UGUACAGUAUAUGUGCCGUCAAUGGCGUCAAGAGCUUGCCCAACCUGUAGGUGGCCGUGUAACUAGAAGCUCACGCCCACGUUAGCCAAUCAGAAUCCCGAAAAUAUCA